UAAAAUAAAAUAAAAUAAAACAAAUGAGAACAAUCCAAUAAAAUUUCUAUUCGCUUAUGAAAACCUUGAGGGAGGAAAAGAGAUCUCAUUUAGCCUCUUAGAAAAAAUUCAAGAAUCAUAUAUUCCAAUAGUCAUUUUCUCUAAAAACUGAGCAUUUUCUACGUGGUGUAUGGAUAAAUUAGUGAAAAUAAUUGAAUGCAGGGAGAAGAUGGGGCAGAUAGCUUUUUAACAUGUAUCCAUCUCAUGUUCAAGAAUUGAGAGAGUUUUGAGAAGCACUUGAUAAGGAUAGACAACAAUCUAAUGUUUGGGUAGCUAAGGUGGAGAAUUGGACUCGAGCUUUAACACAAGCAACUAGCUAAGGUGGAGAAUUGUGCUCAAGCUUCAACACAAUCAGUAACGUAACUCCCGCUUAGUUUGCAUGCUUUCCAACAAAAUCAUGUCAAAUAAGGAUAUGUAAAGCUAUCAAAAAGGGCAAUAACCUGUGCUUAAGGUAUUCCGUUAGCUAUUAGAAUUUUAGGCUCCACUCUAUAGAUAACCACAAUAUGCAACUGUACAGUGUAUACUGUUUAAUGAUAUGACAGUCAACGAUGCUGGCUAACCUUAUAAAGAUAUAACAUUAGUAUCAAUGUCUUUGCCACUUGGAGAGGAAAACGACAUGUUCUUUGCCACUGAUUAGUGAGUGAUGGUAUUUAUACCAAGAGGGAAAUCAUAUCCACUGCCGAGCACCUUAAAAGCAACAUGAGGUGUUUGAUCUUCUUCAUGUUUCAGUCUUUUAUAGGGAGGCUCCUCCUCCUCCUCUACAUGGAUACCACACUUAACAAUCCCAUUGUAACUGCGUCCUUUAUUGAUAUACUCAACAAAAAAUUGAAAGACCAUGCUAUUCUCUCUGAAAUUAAGAGAAGAACGCCAAAAGAAGAUGUGUUCUGAAUGAAGAAUGAUUUUAUCCUUCGCACGGAGAUGAACAUUAACACAGUCCAAUUUAGCCCAAUAGUAGUCAAAUUGAUGUUGGCUAUGUCCAGACUCAUUUAUGGAAUGGACUGUACAUCCAAUUCUUUUGACAUGACAAGGAUGACAAACUUUGGGGUCAAAAACAACAAAAAAUGUGAAAUAGGUAGAUUUCACCUGCUUCAGUUGUGUAAAUGACAGAAAGAAAGAAGAUCCACAGUCAUUCUGAUACUUGAUCCAUUGUGGCACUUGACUUCCAGGAAAACAAAACUCCUGUGCCACGUGAAAAUCUUGUUACUCAUUUAAUAUAUAUUAUGAUAAACUCUACCAACAAUAUGAAAAAAAAUAAAAAAUAACACACUAAAAGGUCUUAUGAUACAGAGAAAGAAAGAGAGAUAUACCACUCCCCUUCGCCAAGGAGUUUGCAGUAAAUGGUCCACAAUUUUAUUACGUUCAUCAACAUCCAAAUUGAUGCAGUUCUCAAAUUCUAAAAUUUUAAUAGUCUGGAGUUGGAAUAAACUGGAUGCUGACUCAAGACAAGUGCAAUUUGUUGCACAUAAUUUGAGGAGAGAUGGAAGCUCCGGUAAAUAUUUUAGUCUCUUGCAAUCACUUAAAUCAAGUUCAACUAGUCUUGAAAGUUGUUUGAUGGUAUCAGGUAUUUUCUCGAAAUUAUUUCCACCUAUGAACAAAUGUUUCAAUGACACUAUAUGGCAAAGAGUGUUGGGAAAUUCUAAUAAGCCACACAACUCUAGAUUAACCUCCUCUAGAAGGGGAAUCCCUGCCAAAGCAGGGAUUAUCAAACCUUCACAUCUCCUAAAAUUUAAUGUUCUCAAAUUUCUUAACCGAUUGAUAGAAGAUGGUAGUCUUUUUAUCCCAGUGCCAGGUGCCAUAACAAGCUCCAAAGAUUCUAAAUUCCCAAAGCUCUCUGGCAGUCCAUGCAGAACUAUGCAGUGACCAAUGUAAAUAAUUCUAAGUUCUUUCAGAUUGCCAAAGCUGUCUGGUAAUUCUUUUAUACCAGUGCCAUGUGCACCAAGCUCCUCUAGAGAUUCCAAAUUA
rnacentral:misc_RNA from 1 species